AAUUAUCUUAUAUUUUACUAAAAUGUUUGCUAAUAAUUUUAAAAAAAAAAUUCUUUUGGCAUUUUGGCAUAUAUUGGCUAUGUCGUGUUCUGUAUUACAUGCUAUGCAUCAUGGCAUUUUAGCACACAUUGGCUACCUUGUCCGCUCUCCAGCCUGGGUCAAUUGCAGUAUAAUGAUGCUAAUUUUGAAGGUUAGCUAGCUGCAAAUUUUUAUAUGAUUUGUGUUUGUAUUCGUGUUGUUGGACGCUUUAGUAAGAACAAGAAAUCGAUUGCUUGUGGUUUAUUAAUUUAUAUCAUAUGUUUUAAUUUCAUUUUUACUGGGAGUAGAGCUAUUUUUGCACUCUUUUUUGGUUAUAGAAGCUCUAAAUAAAUCUAAUCAAGAAAGCAUCCAACUGAGAGAAGGGAAAAAGAGCCUCAAGUAACAAAAUGGUAAAUUAUUUCACUUUUUAUUUGUAUUUGAUAAUUCUGCUUUGCUUUGCAUCUUAAAUAUUAUGGGUAAAACGUAUUUAAUAAUCUUAGUGGGUAUAACAAUAAGAUUUUAAUGAUCAUCUUUCUGUAGGGAGUUUCAAUCAUGCCAAUCCUUUUUUUGGCGUUUUGACCACAAAGAUUAGAUCAGAAAAAAAAAUAAUUAAAUCUCAGUGUUUGCACCUUUCUCUGUUUUCCUUCUUAUUUUGAAAAUCCAUUUAGUGGGUUGAUGGUCAAAUAUCUGUUUGGAGUCUUUUCUUUUUAGCUAAUUUUUUUUAAAAAUAUGUUUGUUAAGUAGAUAGAUUAAAGUUGGCUAAUGAUCUUGAUCAUUAGUUUGGUCUCUGUCUGCCAAUUAGCUCUAGUUGGGAAUAAAAAGUUUCUUCUUACCCAACUCGUCUUUUUAUGGACAGACAUUUAUGGGAAGGAACCUUGAUAACAUAGGUCUGGUUUGGUCAUGUACAUGUGGUUCGACAUUUAUAGAAAUGAAUGUCAGGCUUUGCACGUUUAACUGAUAUUUCAACCUAUUGUUUUUCUAGGGACUUAUGGUUAGAUAUUCAGGAAGAACUCUUAUUGGUGCCUAACUUUUUACUUCUAAUUUCAGCUUAAAACAAAAAGUUUAAAUUUCAAUAAGUUUUUUGGUUGCUAUCCUGUUUUUUUUUCGAUCAAUUUGUUAGGAGAACGGUGAGGUGAUGCUAGCUUUAUUAGUUUCGUUUGUGGAUUUGAUAUCUUUGACUCAGUAAUUAUAUGUUUUGUAAUUUCUUCUUGCUUUUUUUUGGAAACAAUAGCUGUCGUUUAUCUAGACUUGAAAAGAGUUCUUCUAGCAUUCCAAUAAUCUCAGUGAGCAAUCCGGAGAAAGGAGCCUUGUGGCUAUGUUCUUAUGAUGAGGGAGUUUCUCUACUACCUUAUGUGUUUCUCUACAAUAAUUUAAGCUAGCUAAGUUGAAUGUAUUUGUAGGGUUUAACACUUUUAAUGUUUGAGGAAGUAUUAUUUUACAUUGAAAUAUGAUUCUUUUUUUUAAUCUUGACUGAUUUAGAACUAUGGCAGGCUGAGCUCUUUAUGCUACUGCCUACUGAUUUUAUGUCUUCCAUUGUCACAAAACUGUAGUCUUAUUGCAUUAUUAAUAGACAUCAAUAUAUUACUUUGGGUGAUUGCUCUAGUGAUUGGCUUUCAAUGUUUUGUGCUUUUGGUUUUUGUUUCUCUACUUAAUUAUGAUAUUGCUGAUAUUUAGAUAGUGGUAGCUGGAUUAAGUUUAAUUAUUCAAUUUGGUUCUAGUUUACUCUCUCUGUCUUUUCUUUCUUGCAGAAUUAGGUUUUAGUUUCUGGUUGGGCAUUUUUUGCCAUUAGGUCAAACUUUCUCCUAACUUCAUUUGGUUUUUGUAACGUAUAUAGCUUCUUAUUCUCAAUGCUAGCUUUUCUUGAUAUUUAUGCUACAUGACUUAAAAGAAGGUGAAUAGUGAUAUCUUUUUAAAAGAGAGAUAUAAGGUGAAUACUGAUAUCUUUUUAAAAGAGAGAUAUAAGGUGAAUAGUGAUAACUUUUUAAAGAGAGAUAUAAGGUGCAUAGUGAUAACUCUCUAAAAGAGAGAUAUAAUGUGAAUAGUGAUAACUUUCUAAAAGAGAGAUAUACUUUUCUUGUUUUGAAGUUCUAAUCUUGUACUCUAUAAAUUACUAUGUGCCAAAGAAGGAAAUGAAGUUCUUGUAGCUUGAUCUUGAUCUAUAUUUUAAUAGUUUUUUGUUUCAAUCCAAAAUUUUGUUUCAUGAUCCACUUGGAAUGAGUGAAAUUAGGAAGUAAAAUUGCAUGCAUUUGCUUGAUUUUGUCUUCUUUAUUCUGCAUAACCCUUUGUGGAAUCUGUUUAACCUUCUACAAUUACUCUAAGAUAUAGUUGUUUUUUGGAAAUGCUUUGUAGCUUUGAUCAAUAGUCAGAAUCUUCUGGAGGUACACAUAUUGGCUGUACACUUGGUUUGACUUUUCUUUCUCCAUCUUCUUGCAGUUCGACUUUAUAGUGUUGAUCCAUAUUCUUUUUGGGGUACAGCAAAUAAAUCCAAUCAUAAAAGCGUCUAAUUGAGAGAAGUGAAAAAGAGCCUCAAGUGCCGCAAUGGUAAAUUACUUUGCUUUUUAUUUGUAUUCGAUAAUUUUGCUUUGCUUUACCCAUUGAAUAUUAUGGAUAAAAUAUAUUUAAUAUUCCAAUUGACCCAGUUUAGAUAAAAAUAUAAAAUAAUUAUCUUAUAUUAUACUAAAAUGUUUGCUAAUACUUUUAAAUUAAAAAAUUCUUUUGGCAUUUGGCAUAUAUUGGCUAUGUCGUGUUCUGUAUUACAUGCUAUGCAUCAUGGCAUUUUAGCACACAUUGGUUACCUUGUCCGCUCUCCAGCCUGAGUCAAUUGCAGUAUAAUGAUGCUAAUUUUGAAGGUUAGCUAGCUGCAAAUUUUUAUGUGAUUUGUGCUGUUAGACGCUUUAGUAAGAAGAACAAGAAAUCGAUUACCUGUGAUUUAUUUAUUUAUAUCAUAUGUUUUAAUUUCUUUUUUACUGGGACUAGAGCUAUUUUUGCACUCUUUUUUUGUUAUAAAAGCUCUAAAU
rnacentral:lncRNA from 1 species